CUUCACCGACCCCAGCAGCAGCGGCCGACCCUCCGGCCGGUCCUGGCCAUAGGUGGCGAGAAGCGCCUGGGCCUC
rnacentral:antisense_RNA from 1 species